rnacentral:lncRNA from 1 species
GUUUGAUUUAGUCAUCUAGUGGAGUUUAGAUGACGACCAUGGGCUAUUCUAGACAGUCUUGUGGAACAUUAUCAGGUUCGCCACCUGUAGGUGUUAAUGAACUUGGAUGUUCAUUCGUUGUACUCCAUCCCCCUCAUGGUUGCCUUAUUUGACUUAUAUUGCUGAGGUACCCCCGAAGCAUGUGUUGUCGCCCCGAUGAAAUAUUCUUAGACUAGGUCCCUUAUGUUAGUUGUCUUAGGGACAUAAAGUGAGAAUAACGGGAAUGGGUAAUUGGGUUAUUGUUGGUUGGUGAAAAUUAAAUAUGAUUAUUUAUUGUGGGUUGAAAACCCUAUAUGCUCACCAGGCUCCCAAGCCUGACCCACUCAGUUUUAUUUGUAUUACAGGAAGUGGCGCAAGGGCAUAAGAUGGAUGAACCAUCAAGUUGUUUUGUUUACAAGUCUGCAUAUGUUUAUAUUUGUUAUAUGACUUGUAAUGUAUUCGUUUAUGCUUAUUGGUCUGUAUCGGAACAUGACACCCCGAGUUUUGAUUAUAAUGAAAAUACAUUUCUUUUAUGAAAUGCUUCGGUAAACAAUGUUUUAUCAUGUUUUGUUUUUGGGAACAAAUUCCGCAACUCUUUCAAAUCAAAAGGAUUUACUCUGAAAAUAUUUAAAAGCAUAAAUGAAAAUCGGUCUUUUCUGGCCGAGAUUUUGGGGAUGUCACAGUUGGUAUCAGAGCAUUAGUUUAAGCGAACUAGGAAUUUGUAGGAUUUCUAGACUUAAACUUAGAAUGCUAAGUGAAGUUUUGAGAUGUGUGUCUGUUGUGAUUUAGACACGAGCACUAGUUUAUUUUAGGAAAGUUGCCUAAAAUGCUUUAUGUGCUAAAUGUUAUAUGUUGCCAUAUAUGAUAUUAUUUGUUCGGAUCUAUGGUCUGUUGCCGACCGGAUCUAGAAACCUUAUGUGUGUAGGAUUCUAAGCGUACGUCUACGAUAUUAGAACUAGCAUGUAAACGUUUCGGAGUGAUAAGGAUGAUUUGAAUAUCUAUCAUGAUUGAGGAUCUAAUUUCACCUUAUUCGGGGUGUAGAUCAAAAUGGUGAGAACAAGAAGUGGAGUUGGAAAUGCUGACGAAAACAGGAAUCAACCACCAGUGAUUGAGCCAAUACCUGUCGUAGCAGCAGCACCUGAGCCAAUAACCAUGGCUGGUGUGCAAUUGAUGAUUCAGACGAUGUUGGAUCGUCAGAUGGAUGAAACUAGACGGUUGCUUCAACAAAAUCGUGAAGAACUGUCGAUUCGUGUGGAAGAGCCUGAAUUAAAUGAAGGGCACUCGGAAGGUGGAAACUUCAGUGGGUCUGUUGGUCCAGCCAACCCACCGAUAGUUAGGCAAGAUAACCAUGAAGGAAGGAAUGAUGGAAUGGGAUGCAAGUACAAGGACUUUUUGACUUGCAAACCAUCGACCUUCAAUGGAAAGGAGGAUCCGAUUGGGGUUAUGGAUUGGAUCUCCGAAAUGGAGUUAGCCUUUAUGACAUGUGGCUGCAGAGGUAAGUUGCAGACUAUCUAUGCCGUGCGACAAUUCCGAGGUGGAGCCGUUCGUUGGUGGAACACUCUAGGGAAGACCUUAAGCCCUAAUGAGCCACUGCAAUUGUCAUGGGCAGAGUUCUUGGUGCAGUUCAAGCGCAAGUUCUGCUCGGCUCAAAAUCUGUUGGAGUUGGAGAAUAAGUUUUUGACAUUGACGAAGGGUAGCAUGUCAGUUGAUGAAUACACCAAUAACUUCACCGAUAAGAUGGAGUUUGCCUUGCGUAUCGUUCCAGACGAGCUGACAAAGGUGGAUCGGUAUGCGAAGGGACUUCCAUGGGAGUACGAGGUGCCGGUACGUCAGGCACUUACUCUAGAGGCAGCUAUCUGGGCUGCCAAGUCUGUGGAGAACAUGAUCAAGGGGAGAACCACCGUCAAGGUUGAGGUUGGUGAGAAAAGGAAGUUUGAAGGAACAUCUGGUUCCAGUAAGAAGAGCAAAUUUUCGAAAUCUGAUUCGAAAAAGUUUGGAGGAAAAGGAGGCGAAGCAAAGUGGUGUGAUAAGUGUAAGAAAAAGCACUUUGGGAAAUGUAGCGAGGAUGUGACCUGCUACAAGUGUGGAAAGGUUGGACAUUUUGCCAAUGAAUGUCCGAACAACAAAAGGAUGUGUUUUGGUUGUAAUGAAGAGGGGCAUAUUUUGAAAGACUGUCCGAAGAAGAAGGAGGCAGCUAGGCCCAACAUUCCACCAAAGCCGAAGGCGAGAGCCUUCCAGAUGACACUUGAGGCUGCGAAAGAUGAAGCUGAUGUCGCUUCAGGUACCUUUCUCGUAAACGAAUUACCUGCUCAUAUAUUGUUUGAUUCUGGAGCCAACUACUCCUUUAUUUCGCAUGAGUUUGGUAGAAAGCUAGCUUUGCCUGUUGAUAGACUAAAUAAUGCUUUAUUAGUCGAAGUAGCUAGUGGCAAGUUUGUACCUGUUAGCCAUCGUAUGAAAAACGUCUUGAUCGACCUUAAUGGGAAUAAGUUUCUCGAGGAAUUAUUGCCUAUCGAACUAAAUGGUUUCGACAUCGUCUUGGGAAUGGAUUGGCUUAGCGCCAAUGAUGCCGAAAUUUUGUGCAAGAAGAAGAUAGUUAAAGUAAACCCGCCUGGAAAAGAUUCGUUUAUGGUGUAUGGGGACAAACGCAGAGUGAAUUCUGGAAUCAUUUCUCUAAUGAAAGCCAGAAAGUGUUUGACCAAGGGAUGUACAUCAUAUUUAGCAUUCGUGAUUGAUGCUAAGAAAGAAAAGAAGGUGAUGCAGAGCAUUCCAGUGGUGUGUGAUUAUCCGGAAGUAUUUCCCGAGGAUCUUCCUGGAUUACCACCUGAUAGACAAGUGGAGUUCAGAAUAGACUUGUUACCAGGAACCACGCCAAUAGCAAAAGCACCUUAUCGAUUAGCACCGACGGAGAUGAAGGAGCUAAUGAUGCAACUUCAGGAGUUAUUGGACAAAGGUUUCAUUAGACCUAGUUCAUCGCCCUGGGGAGCUCCGGUGUUAUUUGUAAAGAAGAAAGAUGGAAGUAUGAGAAUGUGCAUCGAUUACAGAGAGCUGAACAAGGCAACAAUAAAGAAUAGAUAUCCGUUGCCGAGGAUUGAUGACCUGUUUGAUCAAUUGCAAGGUUCGAGCUAUUUCUCGAAGAUCGAUCUUAGGUCAGGAUAUCAUCAGCUGAAAGUAAGAGAGCAAGAUAUCGAGAAGACUGCAUUCAGAACUAGAUAUGGACACUACGAGUUCUUGGUUAUGUCGUUUGGACUAACCAAUGCUCCAGCAGCGUUCAUGGAUUUGAUGAAUAGGGUUUGUAAUCCUUUCCUUGAUAAAUCCGUGAUAGUGUUCAUAGACGACAUUCUGAUCUACUCGAAAAGCCAGGAGGAGCAUGGCAGACACUUGCGAGAAGUGUUAGAAGUUUUGAAGAAGGAGAAGCUUUAUGCGAAGUUCUCCAAAUGUGAUUUUUGGAUUCGUGAAGUCCAAUUCUUGGGUCACGUGGUCAACCAAGAAGGGAUAAUGGUUGAUCCAGCGAAGAUCGAAGCUGUGACGAAGUGGGAACAACCGAAAAGUCCCACGGAGAUUCGAAGCUUUUUAGGAUUAGCCGGAUAUUACCGAAGGUUUAUCCAAGGCUUUUCUUCGAUUGCUACUCCAUUAACAGCUUUGACCCACAAAGGAGCUACUUAUGCUUGGAGUGAGAAGCAUAAAGAAGCAUUCGAGAAGUUAAAGAAGAAGCUAUGCGAGGCACCGAUACUUUCUCUACCCGAUGGAGUUGAAGACUUCGCUGUUUAUAGCGAUGCGUCUGGUGUUGGAUUGGGUUGUGUUUUGACCCAAAGAGAAAAGGUGAUAGCAUAUGCGUCUCGACAGCUGAAAGAGCAUGAAAAGAAUUACCCGACUCAUGAUUUGGAGUUGGCAGCGGUAGUUUUCGCUCUGAAAAUAUGGAGGCAUUACCUCUAUGGCACGAAGUGCAAACUUUUCACUGAUCAUAAGAGUCUCCAAUACCUCUUUAAUCAGAAAGAAUUGAAUAUGAGGCAACGACGCUGGCUAGAAUUACUUAAAGACUACGACUGCGAGAUACUUUACCACCCCGGUAAAGCUAAUGUUGUUGCUGAUGCUCUCAGUCGGAAGGUCAAUCUUGAAAGGAAGAGGCCAAGAGCGUUGAGAAUUGAAGUUGUCUCGACCAUUGUGGAAAGUAUAAAGAAAGCUCAAGAGGAAGCUUCUGAGAAAAAUGACCGAAAGGAGGAACGUUUGGGUAAAACGUUGGUGUUUGGUACUAACGGUCAUGGACUGAAGGUAUUCCAAGAUCGUAUUUGGGUACCUAAGUCAGGAGGAAUUAGAGAUCUUCUGAUGGAAGAAGCUCACAAGACCAUGUACUCGAUUCAUCCGGGUAGCACUAAAAUGUAUAGGGACCUGAAACCCUACUACUGGUGGCCGACGAUGAAGCUUGAUGUUGCAAAGUAUGUGGCCGAGUGUGUGACUUGUGCGAGAGUCAAGACACAACAUCAGAAACCGUACGGGAGUUUAGAACCUUUGCCUGUGCCUAUGGGUAAGUGGGAAGACAUUGCUAUGGAUUUUGUCACUAAACUGCCCAGAACAAAGAAUGGUCACGACAUGAUUUGGGUGGUCGUUGAUCGAUUCACUAAGAGUGCGCAUUUCAUAGCGGCCAGGGAGAAAUGGUCUAUGGAAAAGCUUGCGAAUUCUUACGUGAAGGAAAUUGUGAGGCUUCACGGUGUUCCGUUAACGAUUGUAUCGGAUCGUGAUAGCCGUUUCACCUCAAGGUUUUGGAAAAGUCUACAAGAGGAAAUGGGUACCAAGUUAUGUUUAAGCACAGCUUACCAUCCGCAGACUGAUGGUCAGAGUGAAAGAACAAUACAAACACUUGAAGAUAUGCUGAGAGCAUGUACCUUGGAAUUCCUAGGUAAUUGGGAUGAACAUUUACCGUUGGUAGAAUUUUCCUAUAAUAAUAGUUUUCACUCGAGCAUUAAGAUGGCACCUUAUCAAGCUUUGUAUGGACAGAAGUGUCGUACGCCGUCUUGUUGGCUUGAGGCUGGGGAAAAGCAGUUUAUGGGACCGGAGUUGGUUCAUCAAACUGCUGAAAAGUUGAAAAUAAUUAGGGAAAGAAUGUUAGCAGCUCAAGAUCGUCAAAAGAGCUAUGCUGACAAGAAGCGAAGACCGAUGACUUUUGAGGUUGGAGAUUCGGUUUUGCUUAAAGUCUCGCCGUGGAAGGGACUUAUAAGAUUUGGUAAAAGGGGAAAGUUGAGUCCAAGGUUUAUUGGACCGUUUAGAGUCCUUCAGAGGAUUGGGAAUCAAGCUUACAAGCUCGAAUUACCCGAAGAACUGAAUGGAAUUCACAACACCUUUCAUGUGUGUUAUUUGAGGAAGUUCACGGGAGAAGUUCCCGAUAUAAUUCCAAUUUCUGAAUUGAGAAUUGAUGAGAACAAAAGGUUGAUUGAAGAACCAGAGGCAAUUGUUGACCGAAAGACUAAGAAGUUGCGACGCAAAAUGGUUGGGUUAGUGCUUGUCCGAUGGAAACACACGAAUGGGCCGAAUCUCACCUGGGAGACGGAGAGUGACAUGUUGAGUCGCUAUCCGCAUUUGUUUGUUGAUGUGUGAUUCCGGGGACGGAAUCAUUCUAAGGUGGAGAGAAUUGUAACGCCUGUGUUUCGGGCUUGCCAUUUGUAGCAAUGUAAUAGUCUAGGUUAACCUCUGUAACCCGUUUUGAAAUAAUAAGAUUGUAUUAUUUGAGUAUUGUGUGUUUUGUGCUUAAUUGCUUAAUUAUGUGGUUUGAUUAAUUAAGAAUAAAAAUAAGCGUCAAAAUUUAAGUGUAAAAUAAACUUAAUAUAUUUGGUUAAUGUUGUAGUAGUUGAAACGAGGUUUCCGAAUAUAUAUAGAACGCCCAAAUCUGACUUCGUAUGAGGAAGUUAUGAUUUAUCGAAGUUCCGGCUUAGCGAUAUACAGCCUGUUUUACUCGAUUUGAGAUCGAGCGGUUGUUAGCCGAAGCAAUCUAAAUGAGAAUCGAAGAUCUCAUUGUUGGUAUUGAAACGAUAAAAAGUUAGGCGAGAACGGACGUCAAACGAAGAAGUUAUGAAUUUAUAACGAAAGUUUCUGUCCCGGCCUAUUAAAAAUAAUUAAUAAAAAUAAAGUCAAAAUUAGCCGACGGAGUCUAAACGAAAGUCGUAGAGCGUGGUCUCACCUUCGCGUGGAUAUAAAGAACGUCGAAAACGGAGUUCGUAUGAAGAAGUUAUGAAUUUCCGAAGUUUAUUAAUCAUUUUGUAUUUAUAUUUAAAUCAAAAUUCGGAAGCAUUAUCCGAAGGAGUCACCGAUCUGAUCCGAGGUACGCCCCGCGUACUCGAGUACGCCCCGCGUACUCCGAGGGAUGUCGACACUCGCACUCGAGCACUUCGGAUACGUAAGCAAUGACGUUUUGGGCAGUACGCCCCGCGUAACGCAGUACGCCCCGCGUACUCCGAGGCUCCAGCCUCCUAUAAAUAGGAUGCGAGGGUUCCGGGUAUUUUUGCCAAUUCCCUCUCGUUUUCGUGUCGAAGCUCUGUGCAAAAACCCCCGAAGCUACCCCGAAGUCCCGGUAUCAUACUCUAGCCCCGAGGCAAGUCCCGAGAUCCCGAAGAUCCCGAAAAGUGCGGUUCCCGAGUCGAAGCUCUGCCCGCGAGAAGUUCGAUUUUCGAGAAGAUCUUCCAGAUCUGCUGUGGAUUACUACUUCUAUAAGCCGUAGUGCUGUCCGAUCAUCUUCUGAUCAAGUGAGUGUGUAGUUAUUUCUUCUAAUACAAUAAUACGAAGUAUUUUAUAUAAAAAUACGUGCUAUGUGUAUAUAUUUGGUUGUGUUAUGUGUGAAUGAGUAUUCACUCUCUUCUAUCUUAUAGAUCUGCUUAUUUCUUUAUGAGAUAUGUGUUAUGUGUGUGUGUGCCUCAUCUGUUAUGUGAUAUAUGUGUUGAUUAAAGCAUGCUAUACAGGUUUUCUUUAAACUAUGUAUACAAAUGUAUAUUUUUAUCUACUAAUAUGUUGGGUAGAACAUGGGUAGACAGUUGGUGUGUAAUAAACAGAUGAGAGGCCUCGUUGUUGUUUGAUUGAGUCAUCUAGCGGAGUUUAGAUGACGACCACUGGCUAUUCUAGACAGUCUUGUGGAAACAUUAGCAGGUUCGCCACCUGUAGGUGUUAAUGAACUUGGGUGUUCAUUCGCUGUACUCCAUCCCCCUCAUGGUUGCCUUAUUUGACUUAUAUUGCUGAGGUACCCCCGAAGCAUGUGUUGUCGCCCCGAUGAAAUAUUCUUAGACU